rnacentral:rRNA from 1 species
UACGAAGGGGGCUAGCGUUGUUCGGAAUUACUGGGCGUAAAGCGCGCGCAGGCGGUUCUCCAAGUCAGGGGUGAAAGCCCGGAGCUCAACUCCGGAACUGCCAUUGAAACUGUUGAACUUGAGGACGAGAGAGGUGAGUGGAAUUCCCAGUGUAGAGGUGAAAUUCGUAGAUAUUGGGAAGAACACCGGUGGCGAAGGCGGCUCACUGGCUCGUAUCUGACGCUCAGGCGCGAUAGCGUGGGGAUCAAACAGG